UACGAAUGGGGCAAGCGUUGUUCGGAAUCACUGGGCUUAAAGCGUGCGCAGGCGGCCAUGCAAGUCAGGAGUGAAAUCCCGGGGCUUAACCCCGGAAUUGCUUCUGAAACUGCAUGGCUAGGAUAUGGGAGAGGUUAGCAGAAUUCCGAGUGUAGAGGUGAAAUUCGCAGAUAUUCGGAGGAAUACCAGUGGCGAAGGCGGCUAACUGGACCAUUAUCGACGCUCAGGCACGAAAGCGUGGGGAGCAAACGAGG
rnacentral:rRNA from 1 species